GACGAACGCUGGCGGCGGGCUUAACACAUGCAAGUCGAACGGAAAGGCCCUGCUUUUGUGGGGUGCUCGAGUGGCGAACGGGUGAGUAACACGUGAGUAACCUGCCCUUGACUUUGGGAUAACUUCAGGAAACUGGGGCUAAUACCGGAUAGGAGCUCCUGCUGCAUGGUGGGGGUUGGAAAGUUUCGGCGGUUGGGGAUGGACGCGCGGCUUAUCAGCUUGUUGGUGGGGUAGUGGCUUACCAAGGCUUUGACGGGUAGCCGGCCUGGGAGGGUGACCGGCCACAUUGGGACUGAGAUACGGCCCAGACUCCUACGGGAGGCAGCAGUGGGGAAUAUUGCACAAUGGGCGGAAGCCUGAUGCAGCAACGCCGCGUGCGGGAUGACGGCCUUCGGGUUGUAAACCGCUUUCGCCUGUGACGAAGCGUGAGUGACGGUAAUGGGUAAAGAAGCACCGGCUAACUACGUG
rnacentral:rRNA from 1 species